AUUGAACGCUGGCGGCAGGCCUAACACAUGCAAGUCGAGCGGAUGAAGGGAGCUUGCUCCUGGAUUCAGCGGCGGACGGGUGAGUAAUACCUAGGAAUCUGCCUGGUAGUGGGGGAUAACGUCCGGAAACGGGCGCUACUACCGCAUACGUCCUGCGGGAGAAACUGGGUGAUCUUCGGACCUCACGCUCUCAUGUGAGCCUAGGUCGGGUUAGCUAGUUUGUGGGGUAAAGGCCUACCAAGGCGACUAUCCGUAACUGGUCUGAGAGGAUGAUCAGUCACACUGGAACUGAGACACGGUCCAGAGCACUACGGGAGGGCGCAGUGGGGAAUAUGGGGCAAUGGGCGAAAGCCUGAUCCAGUCAUGCGGCGUGUGUGAAGAAGGUCUUCGGAUUGGAAAGCAGUUUAAGUUGGGAGGAAGGGCAGUAAGUUAAUACCUUGCUGGUUUGACGUUACCAACAGAAUAAGCACCGGCUAACUUCGUG
rnacentral:rRNA from 1 species